rnacentral:rRNA from 1 species
GAGUUUGAUCCUGGCUCAGGAUGAACGCUGGCGGCGUGCUUAACACAUGCAAGUCGAACGAAGCACUUUAUUACGAUUUCUUCGGAAUGACGAUUUAGUGACUGAGUGGCGGACGGGUGAGUAACGCGUGGGUAACCUGCCUUGUACAGGGGGAUAACAGUUGGAAACGGCUGCUAAUACCGCAUAAGCGCACAGCAUCGCAUGAUGCAGUGUGAAAAACUCCGGUGGUAUAAGAUGGACCCGCGUUGGAUUAGCUAGUUGGUGAGGUAACGGCCCACCAAGGCGACGAUCCAUAGCCGACCUGAGAGGGUGACCGGCCACAUUGGGACUGAGACACGGCCCAAACUCCUACGGGAGGCAGCAGUGGGGAAUAUUGCACAAUGGGCGAAAGCCUGAUGCAGCGACGCCGCGUGAGCGAAGAAGUAUUUCGGUAUGUAAAGCUCUAUCAGCAGGGAAGAUAAUGACGGUACCUGACUAAGAAGCACCGGCUAAAUACGUGCCAGCCGCCGCGGUAAUUC